UAGAACAUUCGUGGUCAUAACAGUAAGAAU
rnacentral:piRNA from 1 species